CAGUCGCCGCGGUAAUACGUAGGGUCCGAGCGUUGUCCGGAAUUAUUGGGCGUAAAGAGCUCGUAGGCGGUUCGUCGCGUCUGCCGUGAAAUCCUCAGGCUCAACCUGAGGCGUGCGGUGGGUACGGGCGGGCUAGAGUGCGGUAGGGGAGAAUGGAACUCCUGGUGUAGCGGUGGAAUGCGCAGAUAUCAGGAAGAACACCGAUGGCGAAGGCAGUUCUCUGGGCCGUAACUGACGCUGAGGAGCGAAAGCGUGGGGAGCGAACAGGAUUAGAUACCCCCGUAGUCCCUGUCUCUUAUAC
rnacentral:rRNA from 1 species